GUAUCAAAUGUAUGUAGUCGCUCUGGAUAAGAGCGUCUGCUAAAUGACUAAAA
rfam:Salmo salar isolate Sally breed double haploid chromosome ssa24, whole genome shotgun sequence.